rnacentral:rRNA from 1 species
CCUACGGGUGGCAGCAGUGGGGAAUAUUGCACAAUGGGCGAAAGCCUGAUGCAGCCACGCCGCGUGAAGGAAGCAGGGUUUCUGCUCUUUACCUUCUAUCAACCGGGCCGAAAGAAAUGACGGUACCUGCAUAAGAAGCCCCGGCUAACUACGUGCCAGCCGCCGCGGUAAUACGUAGCGGCCAAGCUUUAUCCGAAGUUACUGGGGUUAAAGGGUGUGUAGGCGGCAUGGUAAGCCAGAUGUGAAAGCCGUGGGCUUAAACCGAGGAUUGCAGUUGACACUAGCAAGCUAGAGUACAGGAGAGGAAAGCGGAAUUCAUAGUGUAGCGGUGAAAUGCGUAGAUAUUAUGAAGAACACCAGUGGCGAAGGCGGCUUUCUGGACUGAAACUGACGCUGAGGCACGAAAGCGUGGGGAGCGAACAGGAUUAGAUACCCCUGUAGUC